AGAGUUUGAUCCUGGCUCAGAAUGAACGUUGGCGGCGUGGAUUAGGCAUGCAAGUCGUACGCUUUAUGCAGCAAUACAUGAAGAGUGGCGUAAGGGAGAGUAAUGCAUGGUUAGCUACCCUGGGGACUGGGAUAGCGGCGGGAAACUGCCGGUAAUACCAGAUGAUAUCUUCGGAUCAAACGUGUAAAUCGGCCCUAGGAGGUGACCAUGUCCUAUCAGCUAGUUGGCGGUGUAACGGACCACCAAGGCUAAGACGGGUAUGGGGCGUGAGAGCGUGCCCCCACUCACUGGGACUGAGACACUGCCCAGACACCUACGGGUGGCUGCAGUCGAGAAUCUUCGGCAAUGGGCGCAAGCCUGACCGAGCGACGCCGCGUGCGGGAUGAAGGCCUUCGGGUUGUAAACCGCUGUCGUAGGGAAGGAAGGUCUGGUGUAUAGCCAGGCUUGACCGAUCCUAGGAGGAAGGGCCGGCUAAUCUCGUGCCAGCAGCCGCGGUAAUACGAGAGGCCCAAACGUUAUUCGGAAUUACUGGGCUUAAAGAGUUCGUAGGCGGCAUGAAAAGUAGGGUGUGAAAGCCCUCGGCUCAACCGAGGAAUUGCGCUCUAAACUGUCGUGCUAGAGGAACCUAGAGGUGAGCAGAACUGAUGGUGGAGCGGUGAAAUGCGUUGAUAUCAUCAGGAAUACCGGAGGCGAAGGCGGCUCACUGGGGGUUUUCUGACGCUGAGGAACGAAAGCCAGGGGAGCGAACGGGAUUAGAUACCCUAGUAGUCC
rnacentral:rRNA from 1 species